UACGGGGGGAGCAAGCGUUGUUCGGAUUUACUGGGCGUAAAGGGAGCGCUAGAGCGGCCACCGCAAGUCAGUUGUGAAAUCUCUGGGCUUAACCCAGAACGGUCAGCUGAUACUGCGGGGCUAGAGUGCAGAAGGGGCAACUGGAAUUCUCGGUGUAGCGGUGAAAUGCGUAGAUAUCGAGAGGAACACCUGCGGCGAAGGCGGGUUGCUGGGCUGACACUGACGCUGACAGCGCGAAAGCUAGGGGAGCGAACGGG
rnacentral:rRNA from 1 species